GAUGAACGCUGGCGGCGUGCCUAACACAUGCAAGUCGAGCGAACGGACGAGAAGCUUGCUCCCCUGAUGUUAGCGGCGGACGGGAGAGUCACACGUGGAUAACCUACCUAUCAGACUGGGAUAACUUCGGCAAACCGGAGCUUCUACCGGAUAAUAUUUUGAACCGCAUUGUUCCAACGUUAAAGACGGUCUUGCUGUGACUUAUAGCCUGAUCCGCGCUGCAUUAGCUAGUUGGCUAGGUAACGGCUUACCAAGGCAACGAUGCAUAGCCGACCUGAGAGGGAGGUCGGACACACGGGAACAGAGGAAGAGUCCAGACACCGACGGGAGGCAACAGUAGGGAAUCUUACGCGAUGGAGGAAAGCCUGACGGUGCAACACCGCGGGAGGGAUGAAGGUGUACAGAUCGGAGAGCUCUGUUAGUAGGAAAGAACAUAUGUGUAAGUAACUGUGCACAUCAUAACGGUACCGAAUCAGAAAGCCACGGCUAACUACGUG
rnacentral:rRNA from 1 species